CUGGGCUGGAGACCUUAAAGAUUGUCAGGUUCCAACUCCCAGUGUUUAAUUCUGAUUUAAGAUAGAUUCUACAGACAUGCUUACACAGCUACAAAGGAGUAAUCGGCCAGAACUAUUGCUUCCUUGGCUGCAGGUGUGUAAAUGAUUAGAACAGCUGACAUGAAAGGCUGAAACCUGGCAGUGCAGCUAAUUGCUUUAGGGAGGUGCUCUCACCAGCUGUCUUGGAAGCAGGAGCUGGAACUGUGAGAGGGGAUGGGUGAGCCAAGCAGCAGACAUCCCACUUCCUCUGGCGUUGCAGAGGUUUCCUAAUCCCAUGCUCUGAGUCCAUCUGGCUGGCAGUGAGGUACACAGAGUGUGUUCUUGUGGUGCACUUUAGCAGGGCACGUUGGGAAAGCAAGAUGUGUUUUCUUUUCUCCCUCAGUGCACCAGGGAGUCUGCUGCCCUCCUGAACCAAAGGCAGCACUGCCUAUUGCAAAUGAGGUCAAAGUUGUAUAUUUCUUAAGGUGGAGUUAGGUCUUUGGGUAGGAGUUGGCCUCUUCUCCCCGUGAACAGUGAUAGGAAGAGAGGUGAUGGCCUCAAGCUGCAUCAGCAAGAUUCAGCUGCUGCUGUACUCUGAGCCAACGACUUCAGUGACCUCCCAGUGACGACUACAAGAAACCUUUGCUGAGUACUCAACCUGUUCCUUGUUCAAUGUCAUGAUCACUGGUGAAAACGUUGGCUGAAACCAGUCUGACAUCCAGACAUUACUGUUGACCCUUCACCACCUUGAAUAGUGACAGCUACACCUUUACUUUUGCUCCUACAGCGAGGCCAUAAAAUGACCUAUCUUCCAAUCCUGUGGAAAUUUAAUUUCUUUAAUAGUUUUUGGUGAGGAGUAUUUUUGAAGAAUCUUUGAAAAGCCAACUGUAUGAUGACUGCCAGCAAUCUUUCUAUAAUUCAUGAAGUCCUCUAAAUCAUCAGUGUAUCAACUUACC